UGUAGCUCAGUGGUAGAGUGCUUGCCUAGCAUGCAGGACUUUCUGAGUUCAAUUCCCAGCA
rfam:Heterocephalus glaber contig40968, whole genome shotgun sequence.